CAAAUACUCCCUCCGUCCGGAAAUACUUGUCAUCAAAAUGGAUAAAAGGAAAUAUAUCUAGACGUAUUUUAGUUUUAGAUACAUCUAUUUUUAUCCAUUUUGAUGACAAGUAUUUUCGGACGGAGGGAGUAGAAA
rnacentral:pre_miRNA from 1 species